rnacentral:lncRNA from 1 species
CCUCACAAAAGUUACUUGUAGUAUCUCGAAAAGUUGUUCACAAUACAUAAUAACUGGACUUGUAUAGAAGUAGGAAAGAUGCAGAAUUGAGGCUAAAACUUAUCAACAAUAUCAUCACCUCACUUUUCUUAUCAAGCCAUUCAAGAAUAUAAGAAAAUGUAUGGCUUAAGAAUCAGAAUUCAAUGACAGCAACCAUAUUUAUGGAAAGAAAAAAAUAUAUAAAAAACCUGCAAAAUAAAACUCCAAUGAAUAAACUUCCAAUUGACAGCAUGAACACUAAUAUCUGUUGUUGCCUCUGCACAAACUUUUUCAUAACUGUUUUCCAAUAACAACAGCAGUAGCAGAAUUAGGCCAAGAAAAAAGGAUCUUCAAAAAAAGCUGAUGAUAGAAGAAAUUAUAGAAAGAAAGACUUAGACUGUAAGUGAAAAAUUGACCUUGCACAUCUAAAAUGUAAGAUAAAUGAUAUGAAUGUAGAAAUAUAAUGAAUAAACUUCCAUAAUGUUCACGGUACACAUGCGAAAAGCAAGUCAAAAAUAGAAAGAGAAAAAAUAAAAUAACUAUUCAUGAUGAUGUUGGUAGUCCAACAAAUACAAAACUGGAUCGAAAAUUGAAUAUAUUACUUUUAUUCUAUCCCUAAUUGCCUUCAACAAUAUUGGUCAUCUUUAAGAAAAUGGUUAUAAUUAAUAAAUCAAUGCUAAUUAUUUCUUUUUAUCAAUUGACACUCGGAAAAAUUUCUAUGCGGAAUAGAGAAGCUCCUAAAAUACCACAAGUUAAAAAUUAAUAAUGGCAGCGAGCAAUCCAAAAGCAUAUCACUCAUUGCAUAUACUUUGGAAAAAGCAAGUUUUCAUCCGAUCAUUCUAAGCUCAACUUUUUUCUAUUCUUUAUGUUGCUCUAGUUCUAAAGACUAAGACUUGAUGUUUAAUCCUACCUUACCAAAAAAAAAGCACUUAAUGUUUAAUCCAAAGCACAAUCUAAUAACUAAAUUUUGCAUUCAUAACCUACUCAAAAUAAAGCAGUAGAUAAAUGACGAUGAGAGGAACUUACUUGAGAUGCUUCCUAUACCACCCAACAUAUCUUGAUGAGCCUCGUAUAGCCACUAAUUUAUUUUCAUCUUUGUACCUCGCAAAUCAGCCAUGUGCAAUCCCCGGGAAAAUCUUCACAGAUGUAUGUUUAAAACUUCUAUGAGGUUUAACUAGUUUAUAUAGUGACAUCUUAUUAGUUUAAUAUUUUUAAAUAAGACUACUUGGAACAUUACAAUGCCAAUUUUCCUUCUACUUGUUUGAAUUUGUAAUUUUGAACAUCAUAUAGCUACCUCAAAGACUCCACAAGUUCACUAUCAUAUUCAUAUUCAAACACAACUAAUAUAGAAAACACAUGAACGCAAAAAUUUUCUUCAUAAGGAGGCACACUAAAAUUUCAAGUUUCUCUACACGUACACAAUUCAAUCUAGAUCAUUGCCUAUUCGGUGAUUUCAUAACUAUUUACUCAUCAACCUCUUUCUCAUCUAUUUUCACGGUUGUUCAGUAACAUCUUUCGGCCGAACAAUAUUUACCAUAGCACUAUCACGCCACUUCAUAAUUUAGCGAUUCCACUCAUUUUUCUUUUUUUCCACAUAUAAAACAUCAAUCGUUGAUUUGAAAUGAAGGCAUCUUAUAUUAUUUAUUUUUCUCUGCUUGGAACAUUACAAUGCCAAUUUUCCUUCUACUUGUUUGAAUUUGUAACUUCGAACAUCACAGAGCGACCUCAAAGACUCCACAAAUUCACUACCACAUUCAUAUUCACACGCAACUAAUAUAGAAAACACAUGAACGCAAACCUUUUCUUCAUAAGGAGGUACACUAAAAUUGUAAAUUUCUUUGCACAUACACACUUUAAUCUAGACCAUUACCUAUUCGGUGAUUUCAUAACCAUUUACUUAUCAACCUCUUUCUCACCUAUUUCUACGGUUGUUCAGUCAAAUCUUUCGGCCGAAUAACCUUAUUUACCAUAGCACUAUCACUGAAUAGUAAAAUAUUCACUGAGUAUUUUAUACACUGCAGAUAACACACAAAAUCAGAUGAAGAUCCUUAUUCAAUAAGAGAACAUUAAGUACUUUGUUAAAUUCCCCGAUCAUUUAAACCUAUAUCAAUAAAAUAACAUUUAUCAAAACAUAUGUAACAGUAGAUUAAUUUGCUUUUUUUACAAUCAUUGCCUACAUACGCAAACAGACAGAUUGUGAAGUGAUGUUUGAGGAGGAACACUCUUGAUUCUCUUAUUAACACCUUCCUUCAUUCGUCUUGUAUCCUUUUGUUUGUUGUACCAAUCAAUCAUUAAAAAGCUUCGCAUCAUCAUCCAACUCAAUUAUUUUGGCGAAAGUCAAAAUCGUAUAUCAAAUUUCAUCUACCAAAUUGGUUUGGUUAUACUAAAAUUCAAUUCAAGUUUCAAAUAGAAGAUAAAUAAAUUUAAAAUAAGGAGAACAAGAACCUGUUUCUAUGUGAUAAACUUCAGAUUUCAUGCCUACAACCACCAAUUAGGUAGUCUUCUUUCAUAAUCUGUCAUCAAAAUUGGUGGUUCUUCGAUCUGGUAAUUAGUUGUACAAAUCUCCUCCCAGAACAAUUUAUGGUUCUUAGAUCUGGUCAUCAUUUGAUGAAAUUAGAUGAGUUUUAAACUUCUCCCAAGAAGAGAACACUGAUUGUUGCAGCAGUUUUCGCUAGGUUAAUUUGUUACCCUUUUUAUGCUUAAUUUUGCAAUUUCGUGGGAU